AGAAAAUAGAUACCCCGGUAGUCCACGCCGUAAACGAUGAGUGCUAAGUGUCGGGGGUGACCAACCCUCGGUGCUGUCGCUAAACGCAAAUAAGCACUCCGCCUGGGGAGUACGGCCGCAAGGCUGAAACUCAAAGGAAUUGACGGGGACCCGCACAAGCGGUGGAGCAUGUGGUUUAAAUUCGAAGCAACGCGAAGAACCUUACCAAGGCUUGACAUCCCCCUGACUGAUUUAGAGAUAGAUCUUUCCCUUCGGGGACAGGGGUGACAGGUGGUGCAUGGUUGUCGUCAGCUCGUGUCGUGAGAUGUUGGGUUAAGUCCCGCAACGAGCGCAACCCUUAUCUUUAGUUGCCAGCAUUCAGUUGGGCACUCUAGAGAGACUGCCGGUGACAAACCGGAGGAAGGUGGGGAUGACGUCAAAUCAUCAUGCCCCUUAUGUCUUGGGCUACACACGUGCUACAAUGGUUGGUACAAAGGGCUGCAAGCCAGCGAUGGUAAGCCAAUCCCAUAAAGCCAAUCUCAGUUCGG
rnacentral:rRNA from 1 species